UGGGGAAUCUUGGACAAUGGGCGCAAGCCUGAUCCAGCCAUGCCGCGUGGAUGAUGAAGGCCUUAGGGUUGUAAAAUCCUUUCAACGGGGACGAUAAUGACGGUACCCGUAGAAGAAGCCCCGGCUAACUUCGUGCCAGCAGCCGCGGUAAUACGAAGGGGGCUAGCGUUGCUCGGAAUUACUGGGCGUAAAGCGCACGUAGGCGGAUAUUUAAGUCGGGGGUGAAAUCCCAGAGCUCAACUCUGGAACUGCCUUCGAUACUGGGUAUCUGGACCAAAGUAGAGGUAAGUGGAAUUCCAAGUGUAGAGGUGAAAUUCGUAGAUAUUUGGAGGAACACCAGUGGCGAAGGCGACUUACUGGACUUUUGGUGACGCUGAGGUGCGAAAGCGUGGGGAGCAAACAGG
rnacentral:rRNA from 1 species